rnacentral:lncRNA from 10 species
CAUUUAAAAAUUUAAAAGGAGAGACUGGGAAGAAGAUAUUCAUGGGGGGCUCUGAAAAGCUUCAGCAUAUUCCCUGGAAUCUAGACAGCCAUGCAUGUGUAAGAUGUGUAUACCUCCAGGCUGUUACUGCUCAGGAAAGACCUGAGAAGGCCCUAAGCUCUUACCUCUGACUAACCUUUGGGUCCCAGGAAAGAUAAAGCAGAAUUGGCAACUGCCUGCCUGAGUGUCAAAGGCAUGUCCUGCCACAAGAUUUGUUAUGGUAAAAGAAAAUCAGCUGUGGCAGAUGGGAUAAAAUUGUUGAAAAGAAAAAGAAAAAAUCAGCAAACUUGAAGAUGGAGCAAUUGAGAUUAUCCAAUAUGAAGAACAAAAAGGAAAAAGAAUGAAGAAAAAUGAACAGAAGUUCAGAUCUUCCUUGCAACCACUAAUACAACAACUCAAAAGAAUAUAGUAAAACAAAUGGCAAGGGAAUUUAAAUGGUACUAGACAGAAGGUCAGCAAGGAAAUAAGAAGACUUGAAUAGCACUAUGAAAGCUCUAGGCCUAACAGACAUAUACAGAACAUUUCAUCUAACAGCAGGAGAAUAGACAUUCUUUUCAAGUGAACAUGGAACAUUGUCCAGGAUUGACCAGAUAUUAGGCCAUAAAACAUACCUCAAUAAAUUAAAAGGAUUAAGAAAAUGUUUUUAAAUGUAUAAAGUUGUUUAUGAUAGCUUGUACCAAUGACUGCUGACUUAUUCUAAUAAUGUUUAAAAUGAAUGUUUAUUCUACUGUUUAUUCUAAUAAUGUUUAUUCUAAUGAUGCUUAGAAUGAAUAAUAGAUAAUUUAUUUGAAAUCAAUUAUCAAUUUGUGAAAAUUCACAUUAUGAGGAGUUUGUGAAGAGCAAAUUAACUUCAUGUACCAAUGAGUCACAUAUUACCUUGUGAUUGAGAGUCCAGAUGAUGACCUGUGCUCUUUCCAUCUUUCCACUCUUUCAUCCUUGGCAUAUUAGCCUUGUUCUCCUUCUU